GAUGAACGCUGGCGGCGUGCCUAAUACAUGCAAGUCGAGCGAACAGACGAGGAGCUUGCUCCUCUGACGUUAGCGGCGGACGGGUGAGUAACACGUGGAUAACCUACCUAUAAGACUGGGAUAACUUCGGGAAACCGGAGCUAAUACCGGAUAACAUGUUGAACCGCAUGGUUCAACAGUGAAAGACGGUUUUGCUGUCACUUAUAGAUGGAUCCGCGUCGCAUUAGCUAGUUGGUAAGGUAACGGCUUACCAAGGCAACGAUGCGUAGCCGACCUGAGAGGGUGAUCGGCCACACUGGAACUGAGACACGGUCCAGACUCCUACGGGAGGCAGCAGUAGGGAAUCUUCCGCAAUGGGCGAAAGCCUGACGGAGCAACGCCGCGUGAGUGAAGAAGGUCUUCGGAUCGUAAAACUCUGUUAUUAGGGAAGAACAAAUGUGUAAGUAACUAUGCACGUCUUGACGGUACCUAAUCAGAAAGCCACGGCUAACUACGCG
rnacentral:rRNA from 1 species